UACGUAGAUGGCGAGCGUUGUCCGGAAUUACUGGGUGUAAAGGGAGUGUAGGCGGGAUUGCAAGUUGAAUGUGAAAGGUGUGGGCUCAACCCACAGAGUGCGUUCAAAACUGCAGUUCUUGAGUGAAGUAGAGGCAGGCGGAAUUCCCGGUGUAGCGGUGGAAUGCGUAGAUAUCGGGAGGAACACCAGUGGCGAAGGCGGCCUGCUGGACUUUUACUGACGCUGAGGCUCGAAAGCAUGGGUAGCAAACAGGAUUAGAUACCCUGGUAGUCCAUGCCGUAAACGAUGAUUACUAGGUGUGGGAGGAUUGACCCCUUCCGUGCCGGAGUUAACACAUUAAGUAAUCCACCUGGGGAGUACGACCGCAAGGUUGAA
rnacentral:rRNA from 1 species